rnacentral:rRNA from 1 species
AUUGAACGCUGGCGGCAUGCCUUACACAUGCAAGUCGAACGGCAGCACGGGGCAACCUGGUGGCGAGUGGCGAACGGGUGAGUAAUGCAUCGGAACGUACCUUUCAGUGGGGGAUAACGUAGCGAAAGUUACGCUAAUACCGCAUAUUCUGUGAGCAGGAAAGCAGGGGAUCGCAAGACCUUGCGCUGAUUGAGCGGCCGAUGUCAGAUUAGCUAGUUGGUGAGGUAAAGGCUCACCAAGGCGACGAUCUGUAGCGGGUCUGAGAGGAUGAUCCGCCACACGGGAACUGGGACACGGUCCAGACUCCUACGGGAGGCAGCAGUGGGGAAUUUUGGACAAUGGGGGCAACCCUGAUCCAGCCAUGCCGCGUGAGUGAAGAAGGUCUUCGGGUUGUAAAGCUCUUUCGGCCGGGAAGAAAUCGCACGGGCUAAUACCCUGUGUGGAUGACGGUACCGGAAUAAGAAGCACCGGCUAACUACGUGCCAGCCGCCGCGGUAACAC